CCUACGGGGGGCAGCAGUGAGGAAUAUUGGUCAAUGGACGGGAGUCUGAACCAGCCAAGUAGCGUGAAGGAUGACUGCCCUAUGGGUUGUAAACUUCUUUUAUAUGGGAAUAAAACAUGGUAUGCAUACCCUCUUGUAUGUACCAUAUGAAUAAGGAUCGGCUAACUCCGUGCCAGCAGCCGCGGUAAUACGGAGGAUCCGAGCGUUAUCCGGAUUUAUUGGGUUUAAAGGGAGCGUAGGUGGAUUGUUAAGUCAGUUGUGAAAGUUUGCGGCUCAACCGUAAAAUCGCCGUUGAAACUGGCGGUCUUGAGUACAGUAGAGGUGUGCGGAAUUCGUGGUGUAGCGGUGAAAUGCUUAGAUAUCACGAAGAACUCCGAUUGCGAAGGCAGCUCACUGG
rnacentral:rRNA from 1 species